rnacentral:lncRNA from 1 species
AAUGCCGAAACACACGACGUGCUACAUCUCUGCGAAGUCAUACUUGUCACUGCUGCGGUUUCGCUUAGGGCUUGGCCUUUGGAGGCUAGCCGACCCGGCGGUCAGUCGCGCCAAGAGCGCUGGUGUAGGCUGUGCGGGAACAUUAAUGCAGUAGAAGAUGAGUUUUACGUGUUUGUAGACUGUCCUCGCCUACAACGACCUACGGAAAGGGCUCCUCAACCCCUAGGUGUACGCCAG